rnacentral:rRNA from 1 species
AGGGAUCAGCUCAGAAUGGAAAUUGGGGCCCUCGGCCUUGAAUUGUAGUCUCGAGAUGCAUCGCCAAUGGAGGCGCAGAUGUAAGCCUCUUGGAAAAGAGCAUCAACGAGGGUGAGAGUCCCGUUUGUCAUCUGCAGUCCCCCAUGCACGGCGUGCCUUCUAAGAGUCGCGUUCCUCGGAAUUGGAGCGUAAAUUGGGUGGUAAAUUUCAUCUCAAGCUAAAUAUUGGUUCGAGACCGAUAGCAAACAAGUACCAUGAGGGAAAGGUGAAAAGGACUUUGAAAAGAGAGUUAAAAGUGCCUGAAAUUGCUGAAAGGGAAGCGAAUGGAACCAGUGUUGCUUGGCGAGAUUGUCAUACGCAUUCGCGUGUGGUGGUUCUUGCCUUGUGUGUCAACGCCAGUUCGCGAUCGAGGAAAACUCUUGGGACAUGGUAGCCUGUCUUCGGGUGGGCGAAUGUGCCUUGUAGAACUCAUUUGCGGACUGAUU